AUUAUACUCCCUCCGUCCGAAAAUACUUGUCAUCAAAAUGGACAAAAAGGGAUGUAUCUAAAACUAAAAUACAUCUAGAUACAUCCCUUUAUCCAUUUUGAUGACAAGUAUUUCCAAACGGAGGGAGUAUAUA
rnacentral:pre_miRNA from 1 species